rnacentral:lncRNA from 1 species
UACUGUUAAAAACAAACUCAUUUUUUAUGUUAAGUUUAUAUUCUUUCACAUUAAGUUGUGAUUUUCUUAUUACUGUUAUUAACUUAAACAUCUAAUAAACAAUGUCAUAACAACCAAACCAGAAUUUAAACUAUUUGAAAAUCAUGGAGUUUGUAUAUGUUUGUUUAUUUAUUUAUUUAUUUAUUUAUUUACAGAAACCCAGAUGAGCUCUCACAAGAAGAUUGACGGUAGCAAGAAUGUGACAGAGGUAGGUGUAACAGUAUCUACACCUCCAACAUAUUGUGUUGGAGAGAAUUUCAAGAGGCCAAAGGCAAGGCCACUUUAAAAUACACGAAUGCCAUUGACUUACUUCAGGUUUGUUCCCUGACAAAAACAAAAGAAAAUGGUUUCCUAAUCAAGAACGAGCAAACAAAUCAUGGAAAAAUGUAACUAUUUCUUCAAAAGCAGAAAACAUUUUUAAGAAACGUUUAGCAUACAAUGGAUUGCAUUGAUAUUUUUUCACUGUGGUAGCUAACUAUCAAAAUAUGGACCGAUUUCUCUCAGCACCGGCACCACUUUAAUUGAGACAUUAAAAAUAUUGCGGGUCUCUGAGCAGUCUGCAAAUGCAGAAUGACAGUAGGCUCUGUGUAAACAGAGAGCAAAGGGCCAGUUUAAGUGCACUUAUGGCUAUUGGCGCUACGGACCAUCUGUGCCUCUCAGAUGGACAUGCUUGUCAAGAGGACCUCUGACAUGGAGGUGGGCCUGAAGAGGACCAGAAGUGGACGGAUCAUAAAGUCUGCCACGGAGUCGAACUUGACUUUGAGCAACAACAAGCCGACAACUAUGAAGGAAAAAACGGUAUCUCCGUAUGACAUCCUCAACAGCCAGGAAACACCAUCCACCUCCGCACCUGUGAAGAAACGCAAAUUCAGCGAACCCAAAGAGCGCUACUGACCUCACUGCUAGCACAGCAGUAAUGCUGUCAUGAUCUAUGUUGAUGUUUUAAUUUUCAAACUUGAAAAAACCUAAAAAGUUAAGUUCAUUUAUGAAAAUGUUUUUUAACAAUACUGUGAGGUUGCUGUAGCUUUCACUGUAUAGUUUAUUUGAACGAGCUGUGCUGCAGUUUAAUAUCAUUUAAUAUCAGUUUAUGUUGCCUUUUAAUUGUUAUGUUUUACUGUUCUGAGUUACCUGUGUUCAAAGAGGGACUACUUAAUAAACUACAGAAAAAUGCAUCAAAAUC